rnacentral:rRNA from 1 species
UACGUAGGGGGCAAGCGUUGUCCGGAUUUAUUGGGCGUAAAGAGUGCGUAGGCGGUUUUCUAAGUUUGGUGUGAAAUCUCCCGGCUCAACUGGGAGGGUGCGCCGAAGACUGGAAGGCUUGAGUAUGGGAGAGGUAAGCGGAAUUCCUGGUGUAGCGGUGAAAUGCGUAGAUAUCAGGAGGAACACCUGCGGUGUAGACGGCUUACUGGACCAUAACUGACGCUGAGGCACGAAAGCGUGGGUAGCAAACAGG